rnacentral:lncRNA from 1 species
GGUGAAUGAGUUUAGACUUAAAGUCUAGCAGGCUUCGUGCUAGUGAUGAAUUCGGGUUUAAAACCUAGCAGGCUAAAUGUCGGUGAUUUGAUAAAAGUCUAAGACUAUGAGACCUUGUGUUAAAUCGGCAAUUGAAUUCGUUCAAUACAUUAAGUUGGCAAGGUAUGUGAUAUAUACUUAUGCAUGUUAGAUCGAUUGGAAUUGAAUCAUGAAUGUGAAAUGAGAAGCAUAGGUGAAAAUGCCUAUGUCAUAUAUGUG